rnacentral:rRNA from 1 species
AUUGAACGCUGGCGGCAUGCUUUACACAUGCAAGUCGAACGGUAACAGGUUAAGCUGACGAGUGGCGAACGGGUGAGUAAUGCAUCGGAACGUGCCCGAUCGUGGGGGAUAACGCAGCGAAAGCUGCGCUAAUACCGCAUACGAUCUGAGGAUGAAAGCGGGGGACCGUAAGGCCUCGCGCGAUCGGAGCGGCCGAUGUCAGAUUAGGUAGUUGGUGGGGUAAAGGCCCACCAAGCCGACGAUCUGUAGCUGGUCUGAGAGGACGACCGGCCACACUGGGACUGGGACACGGCCCAGACUCCUACGGGAGGCAGCAGUGGGGAAUUUUGGACAAUGGGCGAAAGCCUGAUCCAGCAAUGCCGCGUGCAGGAAGAAGGCCUUCGGGUUGUAAACUGCUUUGUACGGAGCGAAAAGGUCCUUUCUAAUACAGGGGGCUCAUGACGGUACCGUAAGAAUAAGCACCGGCUAACUACGUGCCAGCCGCCGCCGUAA